ACGAACUGUGCGAACGUUAUUCGGAAUCACUGGGCUUAAAGGGUGCGUAGGCGGCGACUCAAGUCAGGUGUGAAAUCCCCCGGCUCAACCGGGGAACUGCGCUUGAAACUAGGUUGCUUGAGUGAGGUAGGGGUGUAUGGAACUUCCGGUGGAGCGGUGAAAUGUGUAGAUAUCGGAAGGAACGCCGGCGGCGAAAGCGGUACACUGGGCCUUGUCUGACGCUGAGGCACGAAAGCUAGGGGAGUGAACGGGAUUAGAUACCCCGGUAAUCCUAGCCGUAAACACUGAGCACUGGAGGAGAGGGGUUUCGGCCUUUCUCCUCGCAGCGAAAGCGUUAAGUGCUCCGCCUGGGGAGUAUGGUCGCAAGGCUG
rnacentral:rRNA from 1 species